rnacentral:rRNA from 1 species
GAUGAACGCUAGCUACAGGCUUAACACAUGCAAGUCGAGGGACCGGCGCACGGGUGAGUAACACGUAUACAACCUGCCCUUUACUCGGGGAUAGCCUUUCGAAAGAAAGAUUAAUACACGAUGUAAAGGAUGGGGAUGCGUUCCAUUAGGUUGUUGGUGAGGUAACGGCUGACCAAGCCUUCGAUGGAUAGGGGUUCUGAGAGGAAGGUCCCCCACAUUGGAGCUGAGACACGGUCCAAACUCCUACGGGGGGCAGCAGUGAGGAAUAUUUGUCAAUGAGCGUUAGCCUGAACCAGCCAAGUAGCGUGAAGGAUGAAUGCUUAUGGGUCGUAAACUUCUUUUAUAUAAGAAUAUGUAUUAUAUGAAUAAGGAUCGGCUAACUCCGUGCCAGCCGCCGCGGUAAUAC